rnacentral:tRNA from 1 species
GGUCCCGUGGUGUAGCGGUUAACAUGCGGCCCUGUCAAGGCCGAGAUCGCGGGUUCGAAUCCCGUCGGGGCCGCCU